CAGUCGCCGCGGUAAAACGGAGGAUCCGAGCGUUAUCCGGAAUUAUUGGGUUUAAAGGGUGCGUAGGCGGAUAGAUAAGUCAGUGGUGAAAGACGGUGGCUCAACCAUCGCAGUGCCGUUGAUACUGUUUAUCUUGAAUAUGGAUGAGGUAGGCGGAAUGUGGCAAGUAGCGGUGAAAUGCAUAGAUAUGCCACAGAACACCGAUUGCGAAGGCAGCUUACCAAGGCAAAAUUGACGCUGAGGCACGAAAGCGUGGGGAUCGAACAGGAUUAGAUACCCCAGUAGUCCCUGUCUCUUAUAC
rnacentral:rRNA from 1 species